GUUCUCACUUCAAUAGCACAUUCACUAAAAUUGGAAUGAUACAGAGAAUAUUAGCAUGGCCCCUGCCCAAGGAUGAGCACAAAUUCAUGAGGUGUUCCAAAAUUUA
ensembl:snRNA U6 U6 spliceosomal RNA